ACAUGACCUGUGAGAUAAUCCUGAUGCAACAGCUUUCCUUUCAGCUUGAUCAAUUUUAAAAAAAAUCUCCAAAAUAGCAUUAAUAAAGACAAGCCAUAGAAAGUAUAUUUUACUCAUCUGCAUUUAUAUUUAUCUAACCCACACAACUGCUUAAUGUGAAAAGGUCAGGCCUUUCGAUCUUGAAAGCUCACAUGGAUUUCCCUGAAUUAUGUAGACGUUUACCUGGUUGGAUAAUUUGUAUGACUUUUUACAGAAACUGUAGAGAACACAUUCCAAGUCAUAAUAUACAAAUUGGUGUUUAUAUUUUCUCCUUUGAAGAGGGCAGUAACCCUGAGAAAGAUGUUAGUACUGAUACCACAGAGCAGACCCCACAUAAGAGCACCUGGUGUCUCCAGUGAUUGAAAUGAUAUAUUAAUGAGCUCUCAUUCUCAGUGACAUUUUACCAGGAACCAAUUAACCAUAGUAAUUACAUGUCUUCCACUGUGUGCUCUGAAAUGUGAAGUGCAUGGGUGUUGGGUUGCUGUGUUUGUUGAGCAUUUUUUUUCCACAUGACAACCCUUUGAGCACUAAAACUUUGAGUCAUUUAUUAUGUUUCCCUUGCCUUCUGGGUGUCCUAGCAUGAAGGAAGAUCCUGCCAAGGAUGGGUUUAUAACCACAGAUACUGGUGCAUGUAAAUGAGCGUAGCCCAAAUACGAGGAAGCCUCACCAAAGCUGUACUUCAAAGGGUGGCAGAAGGUAUGGGAGGAAGAGGACACAUUGCUAAGAACAGAAACAGGUCAACCUUCAAGUUAAAAGCCAGAUGGCUUAGGGAUCCCGGGAUGCCUGUUUCUGCACAAUCUGCCUGUCAUCUCUUAUGGGACCUUCACACAUCAGUGGCACCGAUUAUCUCACGUCACAGCCCAUCAGUUGGCUGAACUCCAGAAGAAUGUGAAAUUGUCUAACAAGCCUCCAAAUGUGAAUGGCUCCAUGUUGGCCUAAUCACACAUAAUGUUCGCCUUUGUCAUCCGUUCCCAAAGAGUGGCUGCAGUGCUCAUCUGUUAGACAAAUACAAUUUCUAGAGCUCUUCGCCAUGCCUGUUGUAAGGGUUUUUUUUUUUUUUUUUUUUUUAAUCCCCAUUCCCUUCUUCCGGGGGUGAAUUCCAUUCAUUCUUCUGACUACACUCUGCUGUGCCCUUCUUCCCAUCCUAUAAUCAUGACUUCUUUCCAUGGCCUCAUUCCUUAAAAUUGAUCUAGGUAAUUGCCAAAAUUGUUUUAAGCACAGGCUUUUAACUGUGUUUGGAGCAACAAAGCAUACUGAGACACGAACAUCAACAUGGAAUAAUUCAUAUGUCCACGUAUAUAUAUGUCCAAUAAAUGUUGCCA
rnacentral:lncRNA from 1 species